GAGGAAAUGAGAUUAUUAGAAACAAUCCAAAAGAAAACAGGAAAGAAGGAAAAGGGGAACAAAAGAACAGAUAAGACAAAUAGAAAACAAAUGGCAAGAUAGAUUUAAACCCACCCAUCUUAACAACAUUGAAUGUUAAAUACAGAUAUUCUAAACACUCCAAUGUAAAGGCAGACCCAGUUAUAUGAUGUCUACAAGGAACCCACUUUAAGUAUAAGGACACAAUUAGGUUAAAAGUAAAAGGAUAGGAAAAGGUAUACUAUGCUAAUACUAAUUGAAAGAAAGCUAUAUUACUAUCAGACAAAGUAGACUUCAGAACAAUGAAUAUUAUCAGGGAUAAAGAGGAACAUUUUGAAAUGACAAAUAAUUCAUCAAGAAGACAAAAUUCUAAAUUUUUAUGCACCUAAGAAGAGAGAUUCAAAAUAUAUGAAACAAAUAUUGGUAAGACUGAAGGGAAAAAUAAGCAAAUGUACAGUUAUAGGUGAAGAUUUCAACACUCUUCCCUCAGUCAUUCAUAGUAUAAGUAGACAGGGAAACCAGUAAAUAAAUAGAGGCCUUGAACAAUACUAUCAACCAAGUUGACCUCACUGGCAUUUAUGAAUACUUCACCCAAUAACUAGCAGAAUACAUUUUUUCUAAAUGCACUUGUCUGUGCAUACCCCCUUUGCACUUCAGCUGAGGGACCCUGGAAAGCAGCCAACUCAGGACUUUAUACCCCAGGCAUCACAUAGCAUGCUGGGCUAAAGUGUUGAAGGACGUCCUGUUUCUAGGGAGGGCAAUGGAACAGAGCCUGGGCUGUUCUGGCCAUCCCCAUCUUAUCUUAGGAUGUUGCAUUUCUGGCACAUUCCACAGGUACUUUUGAGAACUGGAAGCACAAAAGGUGGGAGAAUUAUCCACACAUAUAUUGAGAAGACUGAAAUCAUACAAAGUAUAUACUCUGACCAUAACAAAAGUAAACUGAAAGUCUUCAAAUGUUUGGAAAUUAAACAGUAUGCAUCUAAAAAACGCAUGGGUCAAAAAUAAAUCAUAUGGUCAAGCAGGAAAUAUUUUUAUGGAAAACAUCAAAAAUUGGUGGGAUACAGCUAAAGCAGUGCUUAGAGAGAAAUUUAUGGCAUGAAAUGCUUUUUGUUAGACAGAAAGUUCUCAAAUUAAUAAUUUACAUUUCCACUCUAAGACAUUAGAAAAAGAAGACUGAAUUAAGACCAAAUCAAGUAGAGGGAAGUCUUAUUAGAAGUCUCCAGAGAAACAGAACCAAUAGGAUAGGGUCAUGCAAUUAUGGAAGCUGGCAACUCCCAAGAUCUGCAGGACGAAUUGCCAAGCUGGAGACCCAGAAGGGCUAAUAGCAUAGUUCCAGUCUGAGUCAGACGGCCUGAGCCCCUGGAGAGCUCAUGGGGUAGCUGCAGUCCAAAGGCUGGCAGCCUCAAGACCCAGGAAGAGCCGAUGUUUCAGUUGGUGUCCAAAGGCAAGAAAAAGCUGACACCCUAGUUCGAAGGCCAUCAGGGAGAAAUCAUUCUCUUACUUGGGAGAGUGGUCAGCGUUUUUGUUCUAUUCAGACCUUCAACUGAUUGGAGGGGCCCACCCACAUUAGAGAGGGCAAUCUGCUUUACUCAGUCUGUGGAUUCAAAUGUUAAUUUUAUCCAAAAAUACAGACUCAGCCAGAAUAGUGAUUGACCAAAUAUCUGGACACCCCAAUGCCCAGUCAAGUUGACACAUAAAAUUAACCAUCACAGAAAGAAACAAUAACAAAAGAAACAAUAAUAAAAUGACAGGAACAAUAACAAAAGAAACAGAAAUAAGUGAAAUCGAAAACUGAGAAACAGAGAAAAUAAGUGAAACCAAAAAUUGGUUCUUUGAAAAGACCAAUAAAAUGGAUAAGCCUCUAAGUAAAUGGAUCUAGCCAGACCAUAGCCAGAAAAAAGAAAAAAAAAAAAAAAA
rnacentral:lncRNA from 1 species